AUGCAACAGGAGAUUGACUGCAACAGAUUGACGUGCUAGAUAGGGGUCAAGGUCGCCUCAAUUUUCUGAGACUGAGGUCCACCUCAACUGACUGUAGGACUCUUCAGACUAUACACAUCAAAGUCUCCAUUGAUUGGGGGCUCUAUUGUGGUUCUAAUAAUAUGGAGGGCACCAAUAGUCCCAUAUCAAUUGUGACUCAAGGAGG
rnacentral:lncRNA from 1 species